rnacentral:rRNA from 1 species
ACCCCGGGAGGGGAGUGAAAUAGUUCCUGAAACCAUGUGCUUACAAUCCGUCAGAGCACCGUUUGUGUGUGAUGGCGUGCCUUUUGAAGAAUGAGCCUGCGAGUUAGUGAUACGUGGCGAGGUUAACCCGUGUGGGGAAGCCGUAGCGAAAGCGAGUCUGAAUAGGGCGAUUGAGUCGCGUGUCCUAGACCCGAAGCGGAGUGAUCUACCCAUGGCCAGGUUGAAGCGCGUGUAAGAGCGCGUGGAGGACCGAACCCACUUCAGUUGAAAAUGGAGGGGAUGAGCUGUGGGUAGGGGUGAAAGGCCAAUCAAACUCCGUGAUAGCUGGUUCUCCCCGAAAUGCAUUUAGGUGCAGCGUCACGUGUUUCUUCCCGGAGGUAGAGCUACUGGAUGGACGAUGGGCCCUACAAGGUUACUGACUUCAGCCAAACUCCGAAUGCCGGGAAGUGAGAGCGUGGCAGUGAGACUGUGGGGGAUAAGCUUCAUAGUCGAGAGGGAAACAGCCCAGACCACCGGUUAAGGCCCCUAAGCGUGUGCUAAGUGGGAAAGGAUGUGGAGUUGCUGAGACAACCAGGAGGUUGGCUUAGAAGCAGCCACCCUUGAAAGAGUGCGUAAUAGCUCACUGGUCGAGAGUGCCCGCGCCGAAGAUGUAACGGGGCUAAGACAUAAACCGAAGCU